rnacentral:rRNA from 1 species
UGAGUAACAUGUGGGUAUCUACCCUUUGGCCUGGAAUAACACGAGGAAACUUGUGCUAAUACCGGAUAAGUCUUUACGGAGAAAGCUUUGUGCACCAUUGGAUGAGCCCGCACUUGAUUAGUUUGUUGGUAGGGUAAUGGCCUACCAAGACUAUGAUCAAUAGCUGAUUUGAGAGGAUGAUCAGCCACAUUGGGACUGAGACACGGCCCAAACUCCUACGGGAGGCAGCAGUGGGGAAUCUUGCACAAUGGAGGAAACUCUGAUGCAGCGAUGCCGCGUGAGUGAAGAAGGCCUUUGGGUUGUAAAGCUCUUUCGUCGGGGAAGAAAAUGACUGUACCCGAAUAAGAAGGUCCGGCUAACUUCGUGCCAGCAGCCGCGGUAAUACGAAGGGACCUAGCGUAGUUCGGAAUUACUGGGCUUAAAGAGUUCGUAGGUGGUUGAAAAAGUUGGUGGUGAAAUCCCAGAGCUUAACUCUGGAACUGCCAUCAAAACUUUUCAGCUAGAGUAUGAUAGAGGAAAGCAGAAUUUCUAGUGUAGAGGUGAAAUUCGUAGAUAUUAGAAAGAAUACCAAUUGCGAAGGCAGCUUUCUGGAUCAUUACUGACACUGAGGAACGAAAGCAUGGGUAGCGAAGAGGAUUAGAUACCCUCGUAGUCCAUGCCGUAAACGAUGUGUGUUAGACGUUGGAAAUUUAUUUA